rnacentral:rRNA from 1 species
ACAAGGUUUCCGUAGGUGAACCUGCGGAAGGAUCAUUAUCGAUUCAACGAAGUGCCUGUGAGUUGUGCUGGCCUCUCUCGGGGCAUGUGCACGCUUCAUGGGUCUUCACACAUCCACACCUGUGAACCAAUUGUAGGUCUUUCGGGACCUAUGUCUUCUCAUAACACACUGUAUGUCUAGAAUGUCAUUAUGAUUAUCGUCUGCUUCCUUUGUGGAGUUGGGCUGAUAAGAUAAACAAUAUACAACUUUCAGCAACGGAUCUCUUGGCUCUCGCAUCGAUGAAGAACGCAGCGAAUUGCGAUAUGUAAUGUGAAUUGCAGAUUUUCAGUGAAUCAUCGAAUCUUUGAACGCACCUUGCGCUCCUUGGUAUUCCGAGGAGCAUGCCUGUUUGAGUGUCAUUAAAUUCUCAACCCCAUCGAUUUGUUUCGGUUGUGGGAUUGGAUUGUGGGGGUUUGCUGGUGGACUUCUUGUCCGUCGGCUCCUCUGAAAUGUAUUAGCAAAGGUUGAUGUGCGAACCAGUGUCUCGGUGUGAUAAUGAUCAUCGUGCCUGACGUGCAGUGUCCUGUGCUUACAGUCGUCGUAAGACAACGUUUUGAACCUUUGACCUCAAAUCAGGUAGGAUUACCCGCUGAACUUA